rnacentral:sRNA from 1 species
UCAACAGGUGGUUUUGAUUCUAAUGUAGA